AUGGCCAUAUCAUAUUGAAGCACUGAUUCUUGUACAAUCAUUGAAGUUAAGCAAUUUUGAGCCUGCUCAGUACCUAGAUGGGUAACCGCUUGGGAAUUUAGGUGCUGUAAG